UACAGAGGCCCCAAGCGUUAUCCGGAAUUACUGGGCGUAAAGGGUGUGUAGGCGGCUAUAUUAGUCGGAUGUUAAAGUCCGGGGCUCAACUCCGGGUUCGCGUUCGAAACGGUAUAGCUUGAGUAUGUGAGAGGUCAAGGGAACUCAUAGUGUAGGGGUGAAAUCCGUUGAUAUUAUGGGGAACACCGAAAGCGAAGGCACUUGACUGGCGCAUUACUGACGCUGAAACACGAAACCCUGGGUAGCGAAAGGG
rnacentral:misc_RNA from 1 species